CCAGGAGGUACACUUGUGGGUUUGAGUAUUUACGUGAUCAGUUGUGUAAUUGUGUAAUAACUACCUUAUUGUUCUGAACAGGCCCGGGGGAUGAUGACGAACCAGCCAGAUAUUAAAUUGGUGUAACGCAACGUCUGAUUCUGGUGUGCCAAUAAGUUUAUCCACGAAGCAGUCAAGCAACGUGAGACGACGACAUGCAGCUAUGAAUCAGAUACUUCAGGUGGAUGAAGAUGUUAGUCACUCCUAGAACUUGCAUAGUGGACUUGCCAGGUAAAUGGGCUUCCUUUUAGACAUCAUCGAAAUGUAAAGGUAAAUGUAACUUGAUAUAAUUCUUUAAGUGCAUAAGGAAAUAAUGGCUGUUAUAUAUUUGACCGAAAUGGCUAUUGCUGCUUUGUAUGCAUUUCACAAAAUCUAAAACGUGUUAUCUACUCUGUCUGGGCAUAAAUGUUACUAAAAUGCUGUCACAACAGUAAGAAAAUGGUGUCAAGUAUCAAUAUGGUUUUAAAGUUGAAUCAAAGACAGGAGCGUUUUGUUUGCAUAAGGCUUAACAUAAGAACGCAAAUUUAAACAUUUAAAGUUACCAGUAUAAAUAUGUAAACUAUCAUAGCCCUUGGAAGUCUGUAAAUUAGUUAAUUUAUUGCGAUCACAUGUUGUGUAUUUGAUUUUUCAUCAGCUGCCAGUUCCUUGUGUUAUUAAAUAGGGACAGUUUACAACUUUAAAUCCCGAUUAGUUUUGGUAUGAGGCGUAUAAUAAAACUGACUAUGACCUCAGGCUAGUGAUACAAGUAAUAUCUGAGAGAAAAUGUAUUAUAAACCUUUCACCAAAGGAUUUGACAUUUGUUUUAUCUGAGUUAAUGUAAUAUUUUCUGAGAUAUUAAACUGAAAGAAACAACACAAAUUGCUUAUCUUAAGUACACUUUAUUUCAAAGCAAUCAUUCAUUUCUUCAUUCUUUUUCCGUUGUUGGGGAUGACACGAGAGUUGCAUAAAACUGUACUCGGUUCGAUUAUCCGACAGAUGUCUGCAUACACAGGACCUAUACAACUUUACAGAACACAUAAUGGUAUUGCUUCUUCGCCGUAUCUGGAAUGGCGUCUAGAUACAUUUUCCCUGUACCCUACGUUCUCUUGUGGAGGCCUUAGUUAUAAACUACGCCGUUUACAGUUACAAGAUGCGGACAAUAAUCGCAAGAUUGACAUUAACAAGCAUGCGUACAAACAAUGCCGGUCAUUAUCUUUCUCUAAUAACUGAUGCAUUUAUAUGACAUGGAGAUACGUGCGUCCGUGUCAAAUUACGUUGGUCAAUUGCGGAAAAGGCAAUUGCUAUGGCAUUCUAUCAAUGGACGUUAGUUAGCUCACGACGAAGAGGGUCGAAGGAUCCUUCUCACGUGACAAUCUAUUAUCUAUCGAUAUAACGAGUUGGUAACGGACACAUCGCCACCCACGGAGGGAAAACCAAUGAGCUAGUCGUUUCAAUGUUUGAAAUUACAGGGAAAACAUGCAUGGUUACACCCCGCGUUUUGAAAUGCAGAUGGACCUUGAUUAUUAAGCUGACAUAUACACGAUUCAAAGUAGGCAGCAUUUAUUAAGGAGUUGUCAAGGCCAUUGAUGCAACGGGACAUAAAAGUGAUAUUAUGGUAUCACCGGGGGUAAUCAUCGAUCCUCUUCCACCCAAAGGCUACGAUUGUAAUCUAUUGUAACCGAUUUGAACAAGUUAAGGUCAUUGCAUCGUUAGAUAAUUUGAAGGAUAAUCGGACGAAGGCAAUUGUUGCACAGUUAGACAAAGAUGCAUUUGAUAGAAUGAGAGGAUUUAUCGAAAAUACUUUUGUAGACUCAGUUAUUCUUCAAAUCAAUCGUUUCAUGACCAGAAUCCAAACUGCUCUAAAUUAUAAACACAUUACUGCAAAUGAUCAUACUAAUUUCAAAAAACAUCUAAGAAACAAUUUAUUGACAAAACAAAUGUGCGUCUUUUAUUGUAAACAAGCAAAGCUUUUCGUGUUCAGCAAAUAAGACUGGACAAAUGUUCACUUGAAGACAGUGGCAACUGCUAGAGGACUUACAUUACACAAUACAGAAACAUCAAACGUACACAUCAGGGCUACAUACAAUGGACAACAUAGCCUCCCUAUUCACCAUCAUCCAUCCUCCUGCCUUGUCAGGGGAAACAUGAGUGCCCGGAGAAAACCCACUUGUGCACUUGUUCGGCUUGGUGACCACUAAACAAAUUCGCCUUGGUGAGAAGCGAGUGCGCUAAACACUGCGCUAACCGGGAAAUCAAACAUGUUCAAAGAUAGCAUUUUAUAAUCAUGGAAUUCCAAUGCUUGCAUCUAGUAACAAACAUUCCAUACACUUCCGGGAAUUCCAGUUUUCACCGAUUCUUGACUUCUGCUAUUACACCGGACAUAUGUAUGACAUUUUGGCUCCGUCAUCUACGAUAAUUUCUCCAAAGAUAUCAGAGUUAUUCCUUACUAUAACAUGUACAUAUCCAGUAGGGAUUUAGAGUGCUCACAGGACAAUAUUCACAAUGUAAUAAUUUACUUGUUCUAUGUCUUUGGCGUUUACCCAGUGUCAUUAAACCAGGUUUAUGUUUGAACCUUUUGCUACUGAGCUUGUUUCUGUAGUUUUUGAAAUAGGUAUUGGUAGUGGAAAAGCGUAACUGUUGCAAAUCUGUUGUUUUUUUAUAGUUCAUUAUUUAGCUUUCAAUAUAUUCAUAGCUGUGCCUUACUGUAGUUUGAUGUUUAAUCUUAUUUUUGUUCUUGAAAUUUAUUUAUUUUUAAUAUCAUGUAUCAUUUAAACGUCAACUGUCGUUCGUGUAUUUGCUGUAUAAUCAUCUAUGCUAGUGUUUAUAGUUCUUUUGGCUUAGAUUUCCAUUGAUUUACUUUUUAUAUGGUCGCGUUGCUGUCUGUUUUUAAACAACG